GGGGGGGGGGGGGGGGGGGGGGGGGGGGGGGGGGGCGAGCGAGGGGGCGGGGAGCGGGCGCCGCGGACGGGAGCGGCGGGCGGGUGAGUAACGCGUGGAUAACCUACCUAUAAGACUGGGAUAACGUCGGGAAACCGGAGCUAAUACCGGAUAAUAUAUUGAACCGCAUGGUUCAAUAGUGAAAGACGGUUUUGCUGUCACUUAUAGAUGGAUCCGCGCCGCAUUAGCUAGUUGGUAAGGUAACGGCUUACCAAGGCAACGAUGCGUAGCCGACCUGAGAGGGUGAUCGGCCACACUGGAACUGAGACACGGUCCAGACUCCUACGGGAGGCAGCAGUAGGGAAUCUUCCGCAAUGGGCGAAAGCCUGACGGAGCAACGCCGCGUGAGUGAUGAAGGUCUUCGGAUCGUAAAACUCUGUUAUUAGGGAAGAACAAAUGUGUAAGUAACUAUGCACGUCUUGACGGUACCUAAUCAGAAAGCCACGGCUAACUACGUG
rnacentral:rRNA from 1 species